UGGGGAAUUUUGGACAAUGGGCGAAAGCCUGAUCCAGCAAUGCCGCGUGUGUGAAGAAGGCCUUCGGGUUGUAAAGCACUUUUGUCCGGAAAGAAAUCCUUGGCUCUAAUACAGUCGGGGGAUGACGGUACCGGAAGAAUAAGCACCGGCUAACUACGUGCCAGCAGCCGCGGUAAUACGUAGGGUGCAAGCGUUAAUCGGAAUUACUGGGCGUAAAGCGUGCGCAGGCGGUUUGCUAAGACCGAUGUGAAAUCCCCGGGCUCAACCUGGGAACUGCAUUGGUGACUGGCAGGCUAGAGUAUGGCAGAGGGGGGUAGAAUUCCACGUGUAGCAGUGAAAUGCGUAGAGAUGUGGAGGAAUACCGAUGGCGAAGGCAGCCCCCUGGGCCAAUACUGACGCUCACGCACGAAAGCGUGGGGAGCAAACAGGAUUAGAUACCCUGGUAGUCCACGCCCUAAACGAUGUCAACUAGUUGUUGGGGCAUUCAUUUUCCUUAGUAACGUAGCUAACGCGUGAAGUUGACCGCCUGGGGAGUACGGUCGCAAGAUUAAAACUCAAAUGAAUUGACGGGGUCAUAGCUG
rnacentral:rRNA from 1 species